UACGUAGGGGGCAAGCGUUGUCCGGAUUUAUUGGGCGUAAAGCGCUCGCAGGCGGUUUUGUAAGACAGGCGUGAAAUCCCCGAGCUCAACUUGGGAAUGGCGCUUGUGACUGCAAGGCUAGAGUAUGUCAGAGGGGGGUAGAAUUCCACGUGUAGCAGUGAAAUGCGUAGAGAUGUGGAGGAAUACCGAUGGCGAAGGCAGCCCCCUGGGACGUCACUGACGCUCAUGCACGAAAGCGUGGGGAGCAAACAGG
rnacentral:rRNA from 1 species